UGCCUCCUCCCCUUCUCUUCGUUGCCUCCCCUCGCGCCGCCGCCCUCCGAGAAGCACCCCGGCCGCUGCUGCUCCGCGUCGUGCCGAGCUUGCCUCCUCUGCUGCUCUCCCCGUCGAUCUCGCCCCUCGCCACCGGCCCUCAAGUUUUGGAGGGUCAAGGUGGACAAGGAGAUCCAUGAGCAGCCGCCGCCGCCCGUCCUCCUACUUCGCCAUCAAGGAGAGGAGCAUAGGAGCAUGUCCUCACGUUCGUGUUCCUCCGAGAAGAGGACAAAUCGAGGCAAGUGUCGGAACGAGGAGACGAGUCUGGUGGAGAUGAUGAGAGGAACGGAGACAAGGAUGGCGACUUGAUGCUCCUCGGAGACCUCCUCUGGAGAUUCUCGACCAAGGUUUGCCUGGGAAUGCGUCCUUCAAUAACAAGAAGAUGUGUCCAUCUAUCAAGAUGUUGAGGUUUGACCAGUGUGGCCACCAUUGGGGGAGUCCACUAACCGAGGCCCCACUAGAUGACAAACCACACCAUAUCCAUAUGAAUCCCAAGUUAAUUCCCCACCGGAUAAAAUGUGGCCAUGGCUGACCUAAUACUGGCUGAGUGAUAGGAUUGUUCUGCAUACUAGAAGGGUUUGGUUGGAUGUUGCAACCCCACUAUGGUUCUAACUUUGUCUACCUCUGUUUAGAAUGCAAUUGAGAAUUGGUCAAUAAACAUUCACUGGGAGUUAGGGGCUGCUACGGUUAUGUGCUUGAUUGGUUUUGUUAGUUCCAUCCAGAUUGUGCUUUGCAGGCUCUUUCAUUUCAUAUCUGGGCGACGAGGGCGGCUUCGACGGGGUCUACACGACAUUUGUCCGCAUGCUCGAUGCUAAGGGCCGCCAUCGCCGUCAAGGGACUCAACCAGCACGGCCUCUAGGUCAGGACACUCCACCUUGCAUUCACCUAUGUGCAGUUUACUUUCAUCGUCAACCAUGUGGCUUAAGUUAAGCUUGGCCAGCAAAUUACAUGGCUCUUCAUCAGCGUCAUGAUAAUGUCGUCUAACAAGCUCGCAUGUGGAUGUGCUAAUGAUCGGGAUAUGAUGAAAGGCAAAGACGAUUGGCAUGUUUUGUCCGGUCUGCUGAAGUUUAGGUGGGCAAGGUCACACAAUUUGGGUUAUUGAUAUCAUUUUGGGACAUUAUUUCGAACAACCUCUAUUUCUAAAUGUUUGCAAAGGCUAAUUUGCAUGGUUUUCAUUUUUGGAGGUUGUACCAUGGCUGCUUUCAAUCUUUCCUUCUGUAUUAUUUUUGUGUGUUUGCUGGAGUGAAUUUUAGUCUUUGUUCACUUUUCAUAUUAACAUUUAAAAUACCAUGGAAACGGACCUGGCCAUAUAUUUGCAGUAUCAAGCAAAUC